GUGAUUGGGGGCUUUGUAGAGCAGUCACUGGAGACCUACCAUAUGUGUAAUUGAAGGUCCUGGAGGGGCGGCCUGUGGAAUCAAUAAUGAGGGUCCUAGUGGGAUGAUGGGCUAGUGGGAUAAGUGGGAGUGGGGCUUAUGGGGCUCAGUGGUUGUGCGGUCCGAAAUUUGUGAGGUCCCUGUUGUGUUCAGUGAAAUGGGGGCUGGAGAACUCUCAGGUGGGUGGGUGGGGAACUGGGAGCCUUGUGAAUGCUGAAGGUUGGUCCGUGGGGUGGGGUGGCUGGGGGUUCAGUCAUGCAAGGUCUGUUGGACCUCGUGUGUGAUUGAGGCCAUCUUUGGUGAUUAUGGGCCUGUGUGGUUGUGUUUGUGGGUGUGGGUAGUCUCAAUGAGUGCUGACCAUGCGUUGGCUCAGGCAAGACUCCCACAGAGUGACUUCUGUUAAAUGACCAUAUUCUCUUUUGUUCUUUGGUCUUUCUCACCCAACACAUCACUUUGUUGGUCAGUGACGGCUCCUUUUACCGAAAUAUUUCCUCCCUUAAGCGUUCUCAGCUGGUUCAGCCUCAUUGCCCUCCUCUAUCCCCGAACCGCCUUCAGCUCUCUCUAGCUCCAGCCGUUUGAGUGUGGUGCUCCCUGAUGGGCAUGCUCUUCCCACAGGCGUCCACAGUGGGUUCCAUCCUCUGUUCAGGACUCAGCUAAAAGUCAUUUCCAGGAUGCCUUUUCUGGCCGUGGGAAGGAGCACCCUCCACCCACCCCUUCCUCUGUCACGUUUAAAAUUUCCUGUGAGCACUCUUUUAGUCUGACGUUACUUUAUUUACUUGUUUUCCAUCUUAGAAUGCAUUUCUUAGAGGACAGGGACCCUGUCUUGGGACCUUAAGUCGUCUCUCCCAUGUGUUCAGAACAGGGCCUGGUUGUGAGAGGCAUUCAGCAAACUGCUGCUCUCCUGGCCCGUAAACAAGACUGUGCAUGUGUGUGUGAGUGUGUGUGUACCUGAGAGUGCUGAAUGUGCAUGUGCGUGUGAGGGCGGGGUGCAGGAGUACGUCGGGAUCCUGAAGGAGGAAACGAGAGUGGCAGUUUGGGAUGUUAGUAUAGUCGGCACAUUCCCUUUUCCAGAGGUGAGAGAAGAUCCGUGCAUCAACCCCAAAGGGGUCCAAGCUAAACAGAAGCUCCUGGGGCACGUGGGCCUUGGAUCUCAGGGACCCCAGUGCCCACCGACCAGUCCACCGUGUCCAGUCUUCUUAAGUAGCCUGUCAGCCUGUGGAGACCAAGCUGGGAGCACCGGGAGCUUAGGUGCUCAGCAAACACCCUAG
rnacentral:lncRNA from 1 species